UACGUAGGUGACCAGCGUUGUCCGGAUUUACUGGGCGUAAAGAGCGCGCAGGCGGUCGUUCAAGUCGAGUGUGAAAGCCCCCGGCUCAACUGGGGAGGGUCACUCGAUACUGAUCGACUUGAAGGCAGGAGAGGGAAGCGGAAUUCCCGGUGUAGUGGUGAAAUGCGUAGAGAUCGGGAGGAACACCAGUGGCGAAGGCGGCUCGCUGGGCCGGACCUGACGCUGAGACGCGAAGGCGUGGGGAGCGAACGGG
rnacentral:rRNA from 1 species